CUACGGGUUGCUCCAGGCGAGAAAACUUUGCAAUGUGCGAAAGCACGACAAGGUUAAUCCGAGUGGUUUCUGCUAAACGAACCUUUUGACAGUCCUAGAAACACUGUUGAAUAAGGGGUGGGCAAGUUCUGGUGUCAGCCGCCGCAGUAAAACCAGCACCUCAAGUGGUCAGGAUGAUUAUUGGGCCUAAAGCAUCCGUAGCCGGCUCUGUAAGUUUUCGGUUAAAUCUGUACGCUCAACGUACAGGCUGCCGGGAAUACUGCAGAGCUAGGGAGUGGGAGAGGUAGACGGUACUCGGUAGGAAGGGGUAAAAUCCUUUGAUCUAUUGAUGACCACCUGUGGCGAAGGCGGUCUACCAGAACACGUCCGACGGUGAGGGAUGAAAGCUGGGGGAGCAAACCGGAUUAGAUACCCGGGUAGUC
rnacentral:rRNA from 1 species